rnacentral:rRNA from 1 species
AUACGGAGGAUGCAAGCGUUAUCCGGAUUCAUUGGGUUUAAAGGGUGCGCAGGCGGAUUGGUAAGUCAGGGGUGAGAUCCCACAGCUCAACUGUGGAACUGCCUUUGGUACUGUCAGUCUAGAGUAUAGUUGAAGUUGGCGGAAUGUGUCAUGUAGCGGUGAAAUGCUUAGAUAUGACACAGAACACCGAUCGCGAAGGCAGCUAGCUAAGCUAUAACUGACGCUCAUGCACGAAAGCGUGGGGAUC